AGGACGAACGCUGGCGGCGCGCUUAACACAUGCAAGUCGAGCGAGAACCUGGCCUUCGGGCCUGGGGAAAGCGGCGAACGGGUGAGUAACACGUGGGUAACCCACCCUUGGUACCGGGAUAGCCCGAGGAAACUCGGAUUAAUACCGGAUGGCCCAACAGCUCUUCGGGGCGGUUGGAAAAGGUAGCUUCGGCCUCCGACCAAGGACGGGCCCGCGGCGGAUUAGCUUGUUGGUGAGGUAACGGCUCACCAAGGCGACGAUCCGUAGCUGGUCUGAGAGGACGAUCAGCCACACUGGGACUGAGACACGGCCCAGACUCCUACGGGAGGCAGCAGUGGGGAAUCUUGCGCAAUGGGCGAAAGCCUGACGCAGCGACGCCGCGUGGGGAAGAAGGCUUUCGGGUUGUAAACCCCUUUCAGGAAGGACGAAGCCACUCGGGUGAAUAGCCCAGAGGGUGACGGUACUUCCAGAAGAAGCCCGGCUAACUACGUGCCAGCAGCCGC
rnacentral:rRNA from 1 species